UACGUAGGGUGCGAGCGUUAAUCGGAAUUACUGGGCGUAAAGCGGGCGCAGGCGGUUUUGUAAGCCAGAUGUGAAAGCCCCGGGCUUAACCUGGGAAUGGCAUUUGGGACUGCAAGGCUUGAGUGCGGCAGAGGAGACUGGAAUUCCUGGUGUAGCAGUGAAAUGCGUAGAUAUCAGGAGGAAUACCGAUGGCGAAGGCAGGUCUCUGGGCUGACACUGACGCUCAUGCACGAAAGCGUGGGGAGCAAACAGG
rnacentral:rRNA from 1 species